CGUUAUACUUUUAUAACGUAUGAGAAAAACGCGACGAUGAUUAUUGAGCCAUUCAAUAAUUAUUAUUUUCAAGUUAUAACUGACUUAGCAAAGUCAUGUUAUUUAUUAAUCGAGAAACGGAAGCAGUUAUAUUUUAUUAAUGCUACUAGAAGUCGAGGAUUUAUUUCCGACAGCAAAGCAGAUUAAAUCUACGGAUUUAAUUUAAGUUAUAUUAUAGUUUAUCAAGUUAGCAGGCAAGGAAAAAAAUAUCAAACAGAUACAAUAACGGAUGAUAGAGAAUAGAAGCCAGUAUUUUAUUACAGUUCACGAAUACAGUCUACUUCCCAGCUUGGGGAAAAUUGUAUAGUAUUUUACAAGGUUGAAUUUACCACCAUUUGCUUCCCCACCACUACACCUACUCUUACACUCCACCAACUUCUCCAUUACAUUUGUUUUUCUCCACCAAACAUUCCACUUACUUCAUUCCUUAUGUCAUACACCAAGCACCAGAAAGGGAGAUGAAGUUCCUGCUGCCAACUGCCAAGUAUCGAGAGGUAAGUCUUGGCCUAAGUUUUCUUCAUUCCAUACUUGGUUCUUUCUGCAUUUGUUGAGAAAACAAUAUUUGCAAUUUCAGUUCCUUUCCCCAUUUAAUUCAUAGCAACAGACAACCACCGACACCAAGCAUUUCAGACUUAUACAAAGAAGAAGAGGAAGAUAGAACAAAGACUUAGCUUUAAGAUAUAGUGCCGGCUGCCGGUUCGGACGAACCAAGGGGACGGCGAACCCCUGCUGCCGUGACGAACACCGAGAACAAAAACGGCGAACUAUCGAUUAUCUCGUCUGCAUCAGAUCAAUGACAGCAAGUGAGACCGGUGGUCGACGGCGUCUGACUCGCCGGAGAUGGAGGAAGGCAGAGGAUGAGGCUGAGACGCCGAUUUAAGCGCGAAGUUAGGACUUUCACUCUGUUUGUUUUGGAGACCACCUAUGCAUCGUGUGUGUGAGACUCAGAGAGGAGAGGAACUUCCUCUGGCCGGGUUACAAAAUCGGGACGGCGGAAUCAGGCGAGAAAGCUCGCCUCGAUACUUCACAAUUCGUGAAAUCGAGAGAGAACAAGAGAUCUCUUUGAGGGUUCUGCUCAGUGAAACCAAGAGGAAAGAAGACGCCGGACGGAACUGGCGGAAGCUGAACGACGCCGGACCUAAGCUCGGCGGCAGCCGACGCCGGUUGGAGCAUAGAAGGCGACUGAAGCUCGACUGAUGUUGAGAGAGACCGACUGAUUCUACGGAUUCCGAACGAAGGAGCAGCAGCGAUCGACGACGGCGCUCUCCCAGACGACGACCGCUGACCGGUACCGAGCCCGAGCAGCAGCAACUCCAGUCGGCGAUGGCUCCCAAACGACAGCAGCCCGGCGGAUUUCAGGCGAAGAUGCGGCCGCAGCAGCGACCUGGUAUUUGACGAUUAGGGCUCGCCCUUCCACUCUCUUCUUCCCGAACACGGAUUUGAGGCCGAGACACCAAGUUUGGAGGGGGGACGACAACUAGCGGUCGCCGGACUUACAGAAACGGCGGAGGAUUCGAUCUCAGGGAAAGCUAGGGCUCCUCCUCUCAGUCGAGUUUGAGAGGUAAAUCGAGAGAGAGGAGAUGAGGGAGCAGACCGACGUCGGGGUUCUGAGCAACGCUGGCCUCGCCGGCGGCUGGAAUGGUCAGAGUACGGAGCGGCGACGGCAGAUCUGCGGGAGACAGAUCGGGUGAGAAAUUGAGAGAGGGAAGUAGAUGGAGAGAGAGAGAAAUGGACCAGGGGCGAUGUCCUCGGCUGGCCGUCGUUCUCGCCGGAGCCGUUCGCGGCGGAGCUCGCGUAGAGCGGGCGAGAGAGAGAGAGAGGUCUUGAGCGGCGCUGGCGAGAUUUGGGAAGAGAGGCUGCUGAUUUGGGUGGAGGAAUUGAGGAACAGAAGCCGUGAAAA